GACGAACCGUGCGAACGUUAUUCGGAAUCACUGGGCUUAAAGCGCGUGUAGGCGGAUGGGUGCGUCGGCUUCUGAAAGCCCCCGGCUCAACCGGGGAAGUGGGGCCGAAACGACCCGUCUGGAGGGACGUAGGGGGAUCUGGAACUUCCGGUGGAGCGGUGAAAUGCGUUGAGAUCGGAAGGAACGCCCGUGGCGAAAGCGAGAUCCUGGACGUCUUCUGACGCUGAGACGCGAAAGCUAGGGGAGCGAACGGG
rnacentral:rRNA from 1 species